rnacentral:rRNA from 1 species
GACGAACGCUGGCGGCGUGCUUAACACAUGCAAGUCGAACGGAAAGGCCCUGCUUUUGUUGGUUUCUCGAGUGGCGAACGGGUGAGUAACACGUGAGUAACCUGCCCUUAACUUUGUGAUAACUUCACGAAACUGGGGCUAAUACCGGAUAUGAUCUCCUGCUGCAUGUUGGGCGUUGGAAAGUUUCGGCGGUUGGGGAUGUACUCGCGGCUUAUCAGCUUGUUGGUGGGGUAGUUGCUUACCAAGCCUUUGACGGGUAGCCGGCCUGAGAGGGUGACCGGCCACAUGGGGACUGAGAGACGGAGCAGAAUCGUACGGGAGGCAGCAGUGGGGAAUAUGGCAGAAUGGGCGGAAGCCUGAUGCAGAAACGCUGCGUGCGGGAUGAUGGGCUUCGGGUUGUAAACCGAUGUGGAAGGAGACGAAGAGUGAGUGACGGUAAUGGGUAAAGAAGCAACGGCUAACUACGUG